AAUACUAAGUGGAGGACCGAACCGACUGAUGUUGAAAAAUCAACGGAUGAGUUGUGGUUAGGGGUGAAAUGCCAAUCGAAUUCGGAGCUAGCUGGUUCUCCCCGAAAUGCGUUUUGGCGCAGCGGUAAAUGUUAUAGCUUAGGGGUAAAGCACUGUUACGUAUGCGGGCUGGUAAUUCGGUACCAAAUCGUUGCAAACUAAGAAUACUAAGUGUACAAUUUACCAGUAAGACUGUGGGGGAUAAGCUCCAUUGUCAAAAGGGAAACAGCCCAGAGUACUAGUUAAGGCCCUUAAAUAAUUACUAAGUGAUAAAGGAAGUGGGAGUGCAUAAACAAUCAGGAGGUUUGCUUAGAAGCAGCAAUCCUUUAAAGAGUGCGUAAUAGCUCACUGAUCGAGUAAACCUGCGCCGAAAAUGUACGGGACUAAGUAAUCUGCCGAAACUGUGCGAUAUAUUGAAAAUAUAUCGGUAGGGGAGCGUUCUGUUGUAGAUUGAAGUAUUAGCGUAAGCGGAUAUGGACGAAGCAGAAGUGAGAAUGUCGGCUUGAGUAACGAAAAUAUAGGUGAGAAUCCUAUACCCCGAAAACCCAAGGUUUCCUCCGGAAGGCUCGUCCGCGGAGGGUAAGUCAGGACCUAAGGCAAGGCUGAAAAGCGUAGUCGAUGGACAACGGGUUAAUAUUCCCGUACCAUUAUUUGUUGAUAUCGAGGGACGGAGAAGGCUAAGCUGGCCGGAUAUUGGUUACCGGUUUAAACGUUCAAGAUGAUGAGAAACGGAGAAAACGUUUUGAGUUGAGGCGUGAUGACGAGAUGCUACGGCAUUGAAGCAGUCUAUGUCAUACUUCCAAGAAAAGCUCGCACUGUCGUAAAUAAAUAAUGCCUGUACCAUAACCGACACAGGUGGGUAGGUAGAGUAUACUAAGGGGCGCGAGAUAACUCUCUCUAAGGAACUCGGCAAAAUGACUCCGUAACUUCGGGAGAAGGAGUGCCUUAUUUAUAAGGUUGCAAUAACAAGAUCCAAGCAACUGUUUAUCAAAAACACAGGUCUCCGCUAAGUCGUAAGACGAUGUAUGGGGGCUGACGCCUGCCCAGUGCCAGAAGGUUAAAGAAGUUGGUUAGCAUUUGCGAAGCUGAUAACUGAAGCCCUGGUGAACGGCGGCCGUAACUAUAACGGUCCUAAGGUAGCGAAAUUCCUUGUCGGGUAAGUUCCGACCCGCACGAAAGGCGUAAUGAUCUGGGUACUGUCUCGGAGAGAGACUCGGCGAAAUAGAAAUGUCUGUGAAGAUGCGGACUACAUACACCUGGACAGAAAGACCCU
rnacentral:rRNA from 1 species